GAAGCCAUCUCUCCUCACCUCUUCCCCCCUACAUCCCACCUCAUCUUGUUUCCCCCUCACCAAUGCUUGUGUUUUCACAAUACAAGCUUGCCCCCACCCCACGCUGGCGGGAGAAGUACACACGCACGCUUCCAGGCAGGGCUCGUGGGAAACACUGCGGCAAGGGAGAGAGCGCAGCACCCAAGUCUGGAAACAAGAUGAUGAAAGGGGCGCUCACGUCACGGAACACAAGAAGUGAACAAGGAAUGGAAAGCGAGUGAAGAGUGAGGACAUUGUGCCCCGCUGAGAGGGACCAGGGGCACAUCGGGAAAGAGUGUAGGGGGGUGGUGGGGCGCCUUUGGCCUCACACUGGUCCUCUGCGGGGCAGAAAGGCGAGAGACGAGGAAGAAGAGGAGGAAAUGGCAAUGGAACAAAGAACCUCAUCUGGCCAUCAAAAUUCCAGAGGAAAAAGAAUGACAGCGACUGAAAGUGCUUUUGACUGAAACAAACCCUGACAACAACGUUCAUCGCAUUGUUGGAUUUUCUCUUCCCCCAUGGUUAAACAAAGGCACCUUUCUUUAUAAAUAGAGAACAGAAAAAGGAACGCUGUGAUGACAAUGUCUCAAAACCUCUGACACACUCAGAAGUUUGAUCAGAGCUGGAAUGUGACAGCGACUUCCUGGGUACAACAGGAAGGAGGGAAGUACAGCUGGCACACAAACAGGAAAUGGCUGGAGCCACCACACAAUGGAGCUUCCUGUGCACCCCCGGUUCCUCCAACGCACGAUUCUUCGUUUCUCACCUCUGAUCUGCUUUUUUCUCCCACUGGUGGACGUUUUUUUAUUUCAAAGGGCUCACUCUCUAUCCUUGUCAACUCCCCUUUGGCCUUACGGAACUCUCACAAGACAACCAAAACAAGAAGUUAUAAAUCAGUGAAGCGUUCUAUUUAGACGAAAAACAAAGGUGUGGAUUGUCAAAGAUUGGGCCGCGCGUACAAAGAGCUGCCAGAUAUCCUGUGCUAAACUUUACCGGUUCUCCCACUGGCCUUGAAUGAAUGACGGUGUAAAUAACCACUGUUACAAACAACAACAUGACAUAUUAUUGCCAUUUGGUACAUAAUAUUCAAAGACAAUGUGGUGCAAGUACGAUUUUACUAAAAAUGAGCAUCGCAGCACCUGCAUAUACUCCAUACACAUCAUCACAGCCAAACUGAAUUCAAAUCCCCUAACCUGCACUUCUGACCAUCCAAAUGCGGUCUAAUUUUUGUGGCAGGAUAACUCCAUUCAUUCGACUUUACUUCUGAAUAAAUUUCAAAGUACAGGCGAUGAACCUAAAAAGUACUGGAAGCUCGAGAACGAAUAAAAAGGACUAUUUCCUGAUGAGACUGUGGGGAAUACAGUGUGUUUCAUUAGCCAAGCACACAAAUCUUUAUUUAGAUUUCCACAUCCUCCUCAGAGACGCACACCUUUAGUGUGAACCUUGCGCACACCAGGGGGGCGUGGGGAACGUGUGAUUGUUGCAGGCCUAAAGAUUGUGUAGACAUUAUAAGUGGGGAAAAAAGUGCGUGCAUUUAGGGUUUUUGAAACCCUGCAUUUUGAGAAAGCACAUUUACAUACACAUUAAGAAUUAAAUAGGUCACAAUAAACUUUUUGAACACAUAGAAUGAGUUUAUUGUGACCUAUUUUGUAUAUUAUAGAUCUAUCGCUACUAUAAAUCUACAUACACGAUAUAAGCCUACCAAUUGAUGAAAGUUUUUUUCUUAUGCAAUUUUGGCAUCACAUUAUAGAAACAAUGGAAGAGUGUAUUAAGUGACCGAUAGGUUCUGUUCGGACGUCCAAUUUCUCCGUUGCCCACUGUCUCGCUUUCAGUCUCCAUCCUGUUCGCUGACCAUCGUCCCCUCCUCAUCCCGCAUCUUUGUCUGAGCCUUGCCCCACGAACGCAGUUCCAUCUUUAACAAGAAAAGCUUUUGUCUUUUUUUUUUUCUUCCCCCCCCCCCGUCAUUGCAAAACAACACGUGCGCACGCACACUCCCACACACACUUUAUCAGGGCCACUUAUUCCCAAGGCAGCCCAAGGCUUUGGUGUUCCCAGAUCUAGUUGAUGAACGGGUCACGGCGGCCAAUCACGCAGCGGCCAGGAGGCCCAGAGGGGUGGAAUGUGGGUCAGUGCAGCCAAUGAUAAGCUGCUUUUCCCCAGGAGAGGCAGGUGAUUGACAACUGGUGGUGGACAGAAGUCAAGAGGGUAAUUGUCAUCCGACUCCCUCGCUCUCUCUGUCUUUUCUGACUGUCUGUCUCUCACGCUCAUCCUAGACACUUUCCUCUGUCUCUCCCCUCAACUGCGUGCUCCGCUGCCUCCCCUUUCCAACCUACUUCCUGCUCCUCACCUCCCCUCCCCAACCUGCCUUGUCGCACCAGCUCCACGAGGACCCUCUCAUUGGCUGCCCUCCCCGUCCCCCCGGAACGACUUUAUGACACUAUUGGCAGAGAAUUGAUGCCAAUCUUUAUCCCCAGCUCGCGGCCCCCGGGAGCCUCCCCAACUUCAACUGCCUGUGUCAAGCACUCAUGCAAUGCCGGCCAGUCGGGGGACAGGGCCAGAAGCUGAUUAACCAAAUACUUUUAUCAGCACUAAAACCGCGCUCUGUGUCUGCCUGCAGUUGGAACAAAACAGCCUUAAAAUACAAAACCACGCUUUCCCAUCCAGAGCGCCAGACCAGUUUGAGGUUUGGGACCUUUGUGUGCUUUUGUUUGCCAGCGUGUGCUUUUGUGUGUGUGUGUGUGUGUGUGUGUGUGUGUGUGUGUGUGUGUGUGUGUGUGUGUGUGUGUGUGUGUGUGUGUGUGUGUG